AACGAACGCUGGCGGCAUGCCUAACACAUGCAAGUCGAACGAGACCUUCGGGUCUAGUGGCGCACGGGUGCGUAACGCGUGGGAACCUGCCCUUAGGUUCGGAAUAACUCCCCGAAAGGGGUGCUAAUACCGGAUAAUGUCUUCGGACCAAAGAUUUAUCGCCUUUGGAUGGGCCCGCGUUGGAUUAGCUAGUUGGUAGGGUAAAAGCCUACCAAGGCGACGAUCCAUAGCUGGUCUGAGAGGAUGAUCAGCCACACUGGGACUGAGACACGGCCCAGACUCCUACGGGAGGCAGCAGUGGGGAAUAUUGGACAAGGGGCGAAAGCAUGAUCCAGCAAUGCCGCGUGAGUGAUGAAGGCCUUAGGGUUGUAAAGCUCUUUUACCCGGGAUGAUAAUGACAGUACCGGGAGAAUAAGCUCCGGCUAACUCCGUG
rnacentral:rRNA from 1 species